rnacentral:misc_RNA from 1 species
GAUGAAGAACGCAGCGAAAUGCGAUAAGUAAUGUGAAUUGCAGAAUUCAGUGAAUCAUCGAAUCUUUGAACGCACAUUGCGCCCCCUGGUAUUCCGGGGGGCAUGCCUGUUCGAGCGUCAUUUCAACCCUCAAGCUCUGCUUGGUGUUGGGCGUCUUGUCUCUAGCUUUGCUGGAGACUCGCCUUAAAGUAAUUGGCAGCCGGCCUACUGGUUUCGGAGCGCAGCACAAGUCGCACUCUCUAUCAGCAAAGGUCUAGCAUCCAUUAAGCCUUUUUUUCAACUUUUGACCUCGGAUCAGGUAGGGAUACCCGCUGAACUUAAGCAUAUCAAUAAGCGGAGGA